AGACAGCCAGGAGGUUGGCUUAGAAGCAGCCAUUCCUUCAAAGAGUGCGUAAUAGCUCACUGGUCGAGUGAUUCUGCGCCAAAAAUGAUUGGGGCUAAACAUACUACCGAAGCUUUGGACUCAGCAAUGAGUGGUAGGGGAGCAUUCUGUACCGGGAUGAAGGUUGAUCGUGAGGACGACUGGACUGUACAGAAGAGAGAAUGCCGGAAUGAGUAACGAUAAAAUGUGUGAAAAACAUAUUCGCCGAAAACCCAAGGUUUUCUGGGCAAUGCUAAUCAUCUCAGAGUUAGUCGGCCCCUAAGACGAGGCUUAACAGCGUAGUCGAUGGGAAGCAGGUUAAUAUUCCUGCACCGGUUUGCGGAGGUAAUCGUGAUGGAGUGACGCAGAAAGAUAAUGGCGCAGAGUGUUGGAUUACUCUGUUCUUAGUGUAGGCUUGAUGUCCAGGUAAAUCCGGAUGUCUUAUGGCUGAGGCAAUAGGGGAGCUCGGGCAACCGAGUGAAGGUCAUGAUUCUAGGCUGCCAAGAAAAACUUCUAAACGCGAAGCAGACCGACCGUACUACAAACCGACACAGGUGGGUGGGGUGAAUAACCUAAGGCGCUCGAGAUAACUCUUGUUAAGGAACUCGGCAAAUUAGUCCCGUAACUUCGGGAAAAGGGACGCCUUUUUAGUGUGAAGUAGAACAUAUGGAGCAUGAAGAGGUCGCAGAGAAAUGGGCCAAGCGACUGUUUAGCAAAAACACAGGGCUCUGCAAAAUCGUAAGAUAAAGUAUAGGGUCUGACACCUGCCCGGUGCUGGAAGGUUAAAAGGAGAGGUUAGCGUGAUUUAUCAUGCGAAGCUUUGAAUUGAAGCCCCAGUAAACGGCGGCCGUAACUAUGACGGUCCUAAGGUAGCGAAAUUCCUUGUCAGGUAAGUUCUGACCUGCACGAAUGGUGUAACGACUUGGUCACUGUCUCAACAAGAGGCUCGGUGAAAUUGUAAUGUUAGUGAAGAUGCUGACUACCUGUAGUUGGACGGAAAGACCCCGUGCACCUUUACUGUACCCUGACACUGUGAUUUGGCAACGUAUGUGUAGGAUAGGUGGGAGACUUUGAAGUUGGGACGCCAGUCUCGAUGGAGUCGUUGUUGAAAUACCACCCUUACUUUGUUGGAUUACUAACUGAUACCCGUUAUCCGGGAUCAGGACAAUGUCUGGCGGGCAGUUUGACUGGGGCGGUCGCCUCCUAAAGAGUAACGGAGGCGCCCAAAGG
rnacentral:rRNA from 1 species